AAUGAUUUCGUCUUCAUCUUCCACUUCUAGCGGUGUAGAUUCCAGAAGCAACGACAUCCUAGCUGGUUUCUUGCAUGAGUGUCCGCGAUGGUAACGCUCGUCACAGUUGUAACAUAGUCCCGCUUCUCGACGAACCCUUUGUUUUUCAAUGGUGAGUCUCUUUACUUCCGAUGGAGGAACGCGUUUCUGCAUGACUAUAUUCUCAUCUGAUCGGAAGUUCCGUUGGUUGUUUUAACGGCUAUCAGCUAGCUUGGUUUCUUGGAUUUCCGCCAUCUCCUUCGCGUCCAACAAACUCGUUGGUUUGAAUGGAAUCACUUCGUUCCUUAUAUCUUCUCUCAGACCUGCCAGAAAUGUUUCCACCUUAAACUGAAUGUUGAAACCAUGCAUUCGAUUGGAUUGUUCCUCGAACUUUUCUAUAUAUUUCUUAACUGCCGAUGUUUGUUGCACCCUUGCAAACCUUCUUAGGUGACCGACGUGUUUUUCUUCAGAGUCGAACCUGCCUAAGAUCAAGGUACAUAGGUCCCCCAUGCAUGGAUAGGCCUCUCCGCAUGUUGGUGUCAAAACUUUAAUAUUAUCGAUCAUAUUAUAACGAUUAACGAUUGAAAACUGACAUAAUCAGUUGAUUACCGUUAUUAAAAUACGAAAAAAUAACUCAUCAAAGAUAGACAAACUAUUGUUAGAUGACAAAUUGUGAGCCAUCAAGUAAAUUAAAUUGUAACCUUAGAUAAUGGAUUUUUGUGUUAUUUUUUCAAUUAAAUGAUAAUGAAUACAAAUGAUUGAUUAUAAAUUAUAAUCUAUUAUAAUUUUAUCUUUUUUUUGAUAAAUUAUUAAAUUUAUAUCGUAACAACCUUCUAUUCGGAUGGUUGGCCUUUUAUUUAUAAGAUUUCCAUAAAGGCAUUCUGAUUUAUCUUGGUUGACUUUAUUCGGAUGAUCUGAUCGGACUUUGCAGAACUGAUCGAAAUUUAUUCGGAUGAACGACCAGGAUUUAAAUUGGUUCUUAAAGAACCUAUUCUUACAUAGUAUUAUGCAAUGCUAUUGAUUAUUAUUUAAUUCUACUAUAAGAAUGAAGUUGUUUAAACUUGUUUAUACUUCACACUGUCAUUCAAAAUGCAAAAGCAUAUUCCUCUUCCACCACGGCAAUCGGCUCCUCCUCCGGGCAGUCCUCGCACAUCUCCACCAAGCAUCCUUGUUUCGCAUCCAUCCGAAAUAAUUUUCCCUUGCAACGGUGGCCCAGAGAAAAUGCUUCGUAAUAAUUGAAGCAUAAUCCCUUGGUUGUCUGAAUGCGUCGCUCCUCGACCGUCAAGGUUUUCCGCAUGAUUGGUAGUGCCCGUGUUGUGUCCGGUGGGGUUUUAAUCAAUGGACCAGUAUUAACUGUUAAAUUCUAUGCGCGGAGGAUUCGUCGUUGCCAUCGCCGGGUUAUCCCCAAACAUGGGAUGAUCAAAGUGGUGCGGAGUACCCAUUAACGCCGCUAGGGUUUGUCGCCCAACUGACGUUGGAGGUUACCGGUAUUAACUACCGUUAAGGAAGAAAGAAGAAGAAGUUUGAAUCAAUUUCGUUAAUCACUAGAAAAAAAUGAUUAACUUGUAUAGUUUGAAUUAAUUGUAAUUGUUUUACACUUGUUUAUUUAUUACAAAAAGUUUAACAACUUAAUUAUAUUAAUUCAAACUAACUAUAAAUCUUCUCUCCACACGUGAUUGGUCCAUCUAGGAUUUAUUGAAAAUAUUGCACUUUAGACCUUUAGUUUUCUUUAACUCGUUUUAUGAGUCACAGCCCAAAUUGCCUGCAUAGUAAAACUUAUAACAAAAUUAGUUAUUUGAAUAAAAACAAUCGUUUAUUACGUUUCGGUCCUGAUAACGAUUUAUUGAAAACAUUAUGAAUAACACCCUGGUAGUUUAUAACUAUCAGUUUAUUCAGUUAUAUCACGACCUUAUGAUUGUUUUUAUUACAGUCAGGUCCUUAGUCUUAUUCAAUGGUAAAUUGUUAUUUUACCCUGAACUUUCAGCAUAUUCUUAUACUCCCCCCUCAAGCCUUGGAAUACAUAUUAUGGAUUCCUAGCUUGACUGAGAAUGCUGUAAUUUCAUUUUCUCCUAGAGAUUUGGUAAAGAUAUCCGCAAGUUGGUAUUUUGUACCUACUUGUUUUAGUAAAAUUAUACCUUUAUCUAUCAUUUCUCUUAUAGAGUGGCAUGAUAUCUCUAUAUGCUUACUCCUCUCAUGAAAUACUGGAUUAUUUGCAAGAUAAAUUGCAGAUUUGUUAUCACAAUAUAGAGAAGUUGGCAUUGAUAUUUUUAUUUUUAAAUCUCUAAAAAGUUGAUGUAGCCACAGUAUUUCACACUGUGCUUUACUGAUGGCCCUAUAUUCAGCUUCACAAGNNNNNNNNNNNNNNNNNNNNNNNNNNNNNNNNNNNNNNNNNNNNNNNNNNNNNNNNNNNNNNNNNNNNNNNNNNNNNNNNNNNNNNNNNNNNNNNNNNNNGAAAGUGAAACUGUGUUUUGUUUCUUGGAUUUCCAAGAAAUUAGUGAUGUCCCUAAAAACAUACAAUAGCCUGAUAGUGAUUUCCUACUGAUUGAGCAAGAGCCCCAGUCUGAGUCACAAUAUCCAUGAAGAUCCAUCUGAUUUUGUUUCUUAUAUAAAAUGCCCUGUCCAGGGGCAUUUUUGAGAUAUCUUAUCACUUUGAAUAAGACUUGAAGAUGGAUCUCAUUAGGAUUUCCCAUAAACUGGCUUAGCCAAUGGACAGGGAAGCUAAGAUCAGGUCUGUUUAUAUUUAGGUAUAUGAGUUUGCCUACUAGUGACCUAUAGAGAGUUGGAUUUAUUAUAGCCUUUGCUUGCUCAUUUCUUAGAUUUAUGUGUCUCUCCAUAGGCACUUUUGAGGGUUUUGCAUCUAUAAGGCCACUCUCUUUUAGUAUGUUUAAUGCAUACUUUCUCUGGGAUAUGUAUAUACCUUCUGGUGGAUAUGUGACUUCAAUCCCUAAGAAAUAGGAUAGUUUUCCUAAAUCCUUUAUUUUAAAUUUUUUUUCAAUAUUCUUUUUUAUCAAGAACAUCUCUGUUUCAUUAUUUCCUGUUAUAAUGAUGUCAUCCACGUAUACUAACAGAUAUAUUGUAUUCCCAUUUAUGUUUUUGACAAAUAGUGAAUAAUCAGAGGGUGUUUGAACAAAAUUCAUUUCAAUUAAUACCCCCUUUAAUUUUGCAAACCAAUUUCUAGAUGCCUGCUUUAGGCCAUAUAGAGAUUUAUUUAGUUUGCAUACUCUUUUAUCUCCUUCACUAAGGAGUCCUUGUGGUGGUUUGAGGUACACUUCUUUAUGGAGAUCUUCAUGAAGAAAUGCAUUAUUCACAUCUAAUUGAUAUAUGUUCCGCCCUUUGAUUGCUGAAAUUGCAAUUAUAGUUUUGAUUGUGGUCAUUUUAACCACAGGUGCAAAGGUUUCAUAAUAAUCAAAACCUUCCUUUUGGGUGAACCCUUUUGCUACAAGUCUAGCCUUGUAUCUUUCUAUUUCACCAUUUGGUCUAUAUUUGAUUUUAUAGAUCCAUUUGGAUCCCACAAGUUUCCUAUCAUGAGGAAGUGUGGUUAAUAUCCAUGUCUUGUUUAUGUGAAGUGCCUCCAUUUCUUUUUUCAUUGCUUCUACCCAUUUAGGGUUUUUAGAAGCUUCUGAAAAAGAUUGAGGUUCUUCAUGUAUUGAUAUUUGUUGAAGUAAUCUUUUGUGAUUUUUGUUUAUUCUAUGGUAUGAAACCUAAUUGCACAAAGGGUAUUUCCCUUUAUGACUAUCAUUUCCAUAUUCCUUGUCAUCUUCAAGAAAAAACUCCUUGUAUGACUUUGGUAUAUGAAUGACUCUACCAGCUCUUGUAAUUUUUUCUAUUUUAUUAGUUUCCAUUAAUUUUUCUGGAAAUGUAUAGGGGACAACUUGAAGUUGUUUAUUUCUUUCUCCUGAAAUUUCAGAAGCAUUACUUUGUUGUUCUGUUGCAAUUUCUGCGUUUGAUGAUGUUAUUUCAUCAUUAUUCUGAAAAAUUUCAGAAUUAAGAUUAUUUUCAACAUUUUGAGGAAUCUCUAUUUAAUAUGCUUAAUCUUGACUCAGUAGUACAUUUUUCUUUGUUUUUUUCUAUAUUUGUAUUCUCUACUUGAUUUAUCAUUUUGUUUUGCAAUGCUAAUUGCUCUGGACACAUUUGGCCAGAUUCUGACCUUAUAUCUGAUAUAAUCAUCAGACCUUGGUUUAUUUCUUUGCUUAGACCAGUAUUUUGGUUUUUGUUUAAUACAUUUUGAUCUGAACUUAUUUUCAGAUUCUGUUUUUUAUCUUCUGGUCUAGCUUUUCUGUUGAAAACAUUAUUUUUAAUACUUUUAUCUAAUCCAGAUUGUUCUGAAUAUAUUUGAUCAUUUUCUGAUCUUAUAUCUGAAUUUAUUUUCAGAUUUUUAUUUUCUGAUCUCCCUUUCUUGUUUAGAUCAGAGUUUUUAAAAAUGUUUUUGUCUUGGUUAUGACUUUUAUAGUCAUACCAGGACUUGUUUGAAUCAUCAUGAUAUAGAAAUACAUUAUCAUACAAGUUUUCAAAAAAAAAAGGUUUCUUUGUGUUUUCUGAGCUUAUGUUGUCUUUGAAUGGGAAUAUAGAUUCCCUAAAAGAUACAUCUCUGGAAACUACUAAUUUUCUAUCUGAAACCUUUAGGAUUAAAUAUCCUUUAACACCCUUUGGAUAAUCCAUAAAAACUCCUUGAAAAGUUUUGGGUGAAAACUUGUUUUCUACUUGGGUUGUAGAAGCAUAGCAUAAGCAUCCAAAAGUUUUAAGGUUUUCAUAACUGGGUAUUUUCUUAUGAAUUAUUUCAUAAGGUGUUUUGUUUUCUAUUGCUUUGGAAGGGAUUCUAUUAAUUAGAUGAGCUGCUGUCAAAAUGCAUUCCCCCCAAUACUCAAGUGGGAUAUUUCCUUGAAGGUGUAGGGCUCUUGCAAUAUUUAAGAGGUGCUUAUGUUUUCUUUCUACCCUUGCAUUUUGUGCAGGUGUAUAAGGACAUGAAAAUUGUUGAAUAAUUAUCCCAUAUUUUUCAGAAAAAGCCUUAAAAUUGUUAGAGGUGAACUCUCCUCCAUUAUCACUUCUAAUAAUUUUAAUUUUAGUUUGGAAUUGUGUUUUAACCAUUUUGUAGAAAUUCUCAAUACAUUGUAAUGCCAUUGAUUUAUUUUUAAUUAAAUAUAUCCAUGUACCUCUACUUAGAUCUUCUACAAUAGUUAAAAAAUAACUAAAACCAUCAUGAGUCAUAAUUGGGAAUUUACCCCAUAUGUCUACAUGAAUGAGUUCAAAAAUGUUUUCAGAUUUAGAUGAACUGAUUGAGAAUUUAGGUUUAGCUUGUUUUGCUAAAGGACAUAUCUACAAUCAUAUUGUAUAUUAUUUAUUUCAUUUAAAACUGAAUUUUUACAAGAAAAUUUAUUAUUGUCUGAAAAAGACUUGCUAUUACAAUCUGAAGAGUAUUUAUUAUUACAAUCUGAAAAAGAAAUACAGUUUGACCUAUUGUCAUUACAUUUGAUAUUUUUACAUCUAAUAUUGUAUUUAGAGACUAAAGUCUUCAUUUUUUCAGAUGAUAUGUGUCCUAGUCUUUGAUGCUAAGUUUUGAAAUCAAUGACUAGGUUUGCUAGAAAGUAAUGAGGUGUGAAAAAGUAUAAUCCAUCUUGGGAUUCACCCUUGCCAAUCACUUUCCCGGAUUUGUUUUCCUGAAAUUGGAAACAAUGAUCAUCAAAUAUGACUUUAAUGUCAUUGUCUAAAGUUAACUUGCUAAUGGCUAUUAGGUUAACUUUGAAUUCAGGAAUGUAUAAAACAUUUUUAAGAACUAAGUUUUCUGAAAUUUUUAUGCAACCCACCCCUUUAACUACUAGUGUCUUCCCACUAGGUAUAGUUACAAAAUGAUUAGGUUCUUUAACAGGGGGGUUAAUAAACAAAUGUAUAUUUCCAGUCAUGUGCUGUGAUGCACCUGUAUCUACUAUCCAUUUGUCUAUAUAAUUAUUCAUGUUACUAGAAAUGUUAUCUAUAUUAAAAGAAAAAUGAAAAACUUUACCAGUGUUUGACUUAGUUGAGGAAAUGAGCUCCUUGAAUAGCUGGAUUUCUUCCUGAGUCAAUGUUAGUUGCUGGUUGUUGGAAGUAGUUACUUGAUUUGCAGCUUCUAUGUUAUUUGCAUUGCUGCCCUGGGUUUUUUUUCCUUGGGGUUUUUUCUGAAAUUUAUCUUUUGGUUUUCCAACCAAGUGAAAGCAUUUCUCCCUUGUGUGACCGUAGUAUUUACAAUUGUCACAAUAAAACCUAGUAUCAAGCUUCUUUCCACUUUUGGAAAACAUAACUUUUGUUCCCUCUACUGAAUUUUUAUCCUUUGCAAAGAAAACAGACUCAUUUUUCUCAUUAUUAACAUUCCUGAAUUUAACCCUCUGUUUUUCUUCUUGUAAUACCAAUCCAAGAACCUUAUUCAUAUUUGGCAGGUUUUCUAAUGAUAGAAUUUGGGUUCUUAGAUUAUAGAAAUUUUCAUUCAGUCCUAAAAGGAACUGAUGAAUCAUGUCAAUUUCUUUUUUUUGUUGGUAAAUCUUUUUGCAUCCUAGACAAAAUUUUUCUUUAAUUUCAUCUAUUUGUACCAACUGAUCCCAAAUAGACCUAAACUUAUCAUAGAAAUCAGAUGCAUUCAUUGACCCUUGUUGUAAGCAACAUAAUUCGUAUUUGAUUUACUUUAGGAGCAUUCCCUUGUUUAUACCUACUUUCUAGGUCUAACCAAACUUGAUAUGCAUUGUCAGUGGCGUAUCCAGGAUUCCCCGGCAGGGGGGCAAGAUUCGUCGAAGGCGAAAAUUUUUUUUUGUACUAAUUAAAAAACCUAUACAAAUUUUGGCAUGACCUAUUCAUAUAAUUGAUUAUAAAAACCUAUAAAAAAUCAAUACAUUCAUUAUAUAAUUAAUAUUCAAUACAUUAAUUAAUAUUCAAUACAUUAAUUAAUAUUCAAAUUAAAAAUAAAUACAUUCAUUUAAUUAACAAUAAAAAUUUCAAAUACAUUUUACAUUACUUCAAUGUCCUACGACGAAGACACAUAUCAUUAAAUAUUUUUAAAAUAAUUUCGUUGUCUAUAGUUUUAAAAAUAUCUUUCUCGAUAUAUGUUACUAAACAAUCAUUUAUCAAACUAUCACCAAGGCGAUUUCUGAGACGAGUUUUAAUGUGGGAAUCACAUUAAAGAAAUAAAUAAAAUGGUUCCUCUUUAAUUAAUUAAAGAAAAAAAUAAAAUUCACAUGGAUAUUUAAUCAAUUUAGGUCCCUGUUUUAAAAAAUUACAUGGAAUGAUGAAAAUUCAUAUUUUUUCAGGUUGAUGAUAGUUCAAUUCAAUUUUUUGCAAAUGGUUCAUUAUCCUGUUUUAAAAUGGUACAUUUUUUUCCGGAUCAAGCUAGGUUAAACACAAACGGAUCAAGAAUUCAAGAUAGACGGACAUAUCUAGAGCCUAAAGGCUAGAGAGUAGCGGAGACUGGACUCUGGAGAGUGGAGACGAACUGAAGGCAGUGAAAUCCGAUGGUGGUGGUGUCCUGUGGGCUGUGGCACAAUAACUGAAUCUCGAUGGACGGUGGUCAGAACGUGAGAGCUUGACCGGUUGACCCUGAGAUGAUCGUGAGGUGGAUGGGAGGAGGAGAGAUUGGGGGAAGUCGUGAGUUUUGGGGAAGGAGAUUGAGGGAAACAAGAUUGAAGGAAAUUAGAUGGGGGGAAACGAGAUUGGAGGAUGGGGCGGAAAAUGAGAUUGGGGAAAUAAUAUUGGCGAAAGAAUAUUGGGGAGAUUUUGGGAGAAAUCGUGGGUUUUGGGGAUAUUGGGGAAAUUUGGAGGAUAUUGGGGAAAUAUCGUGGGUUUUGGGUUUGGGGGAGAGGUUUAGGGAUUUAGAAAUUUGGGGGAGAGGUUUAAGGAUUUAGAAAAUUUGGGGAGAGGUUUAGGGAUUAAGAAGAUUUGGGGGAGAAAUUUAUGGAUAUUUAAGUUUUUAGGGAUUUAUAUGUAAUUAAACUUAAAAUUACAUAUAUUGUAAAAUUUAUAUAGUAUAUAAAUAUUGUGAAAUUUAUAUAUUAACCCUUAAAAAAUAUUAAUAUAUUGUGAAAAUUACACUUAACCCCCUAUAAAAAAUUUAAUUACAUAUAGGUCCUUGGAUAUUUUCCAAAUUUUAGGGGGGGCAAUUGCCCUCCCUUGCCCCCCUGGAUACGCCUCUGUGCAUUGUUAGAGUACAUAAUUGUAGACUGAAUUUGAGGGGAAACUGAAUUCAGAAUCCAUGCUAACACUAGUCCAUUAACUAUUUUCCAUAUAUUAUAUUCUCUGCUAGCAUAAUCAGUUGGCAUCAUGAUCUGUCCAGAGAUGAAGGCAUCUUUUCUUCUAGAAAUUAAAGAAACCUUCAUCCCAUUGGACCAAGUAAUGUAGUUGGAUUCUCCAACUAGUCUAUCGGGAACUAAAAUUGCCCCCGGAUGAUCACCGGAGGUUAAGAAAAAAGGAGACUCAGGGUCUUGUAAAGGUGAUAUAUACCUCUCGGAUCUUUGUUUCUUGAGAAAAGAUCCAUUAUACAAACCUUCCACUUGUUCAUUUGCACGAGAUUUCCCAGUAGACCCAGAUGAGGAUUGGUGUGAUGUUGUUGGUGUCUUUAAUGGGUUUUGCUGUUGUUGAAGGAGCGACUGUUGAACGAACUCGGCUUGACUAUUUGCCGGAGGAAAAAUUGCGGAAGUGGCCGGACGGUUGACCGGAGGGACGCCAGAAGCGUUGUCGGCAGAUACCAUGUUAAAUUCUAUGCGCGGAGGAUUCGCCGUUGCCAUCGUCGGAUUAUCCCCAAACAUGGGAUGAUCAAAGUGGUGCGGAGUACCCAUUAACGCCGCUAGGGUUUGUCGCCCAACUGACGUUGGAGGUUACCGGUAUUAACUACCGUUAAGGAAGAAAGAAGAAGAAGUUUGAAUCAAUUUCGUUAAUCACUAGAAAAAAAUGAUUAACUUGUUUAGUUUGAAUUAAUUGUAAUUGUUUUACACUUGUUUAUUUAUUACAAAAAGUUUAACAACUUAAUUACAUUAAUUCAAACUAACUAUAAAUCUUCUCUCCACACGUGAUUGGUCCAUCUAGGAUUUAUUGAAAAUAUUGCACUUUAGACCUUUAGUUUUCUUUAACUCGUUUUAUGAGUCACAGCCCAAAUUGCCUGCAUAGUAAAACUUAUAACAAAAUUAGUUAUUUGAAUAAAAACAAUCGUUUAUUACGUUUCGGUCCUGAUAACGAUUUAUUGAAAACUUUAUGAAUAACACCCUGGUAGUUUAUAACUAUCAGUUUAUUCAGUUAUAUCACGACCUUAUGAUUGUUUUUAUUACAGUCAGGUCCUUAGUCUUAUUCAAUGGUAAAUUGUUAUUUUACCCUGAACUUUCAGCAUAUUCUUAUAUUAGCCGCCUCUGUGCUCGGCCGAUACGGUGUCCGCCACGAGGAUUGUCACCGACCCAGGUGCGCUUCAUACACCUUUGCUGCCGAAAAUGCUUAUCGCAAUGUGGUUGGCUUCAAUAUCUUCAGCUCACUUUUUAACUUUGGUUUCAAUCCUCCAACGAAGUAAGUGAUCAGUGUUUGCUCGAACUGCUCAUCCACAUGUUCUUCAAAUUUAUCUAGGUACUCCUCCAGCGACGACGACUGUUGUAGGCGUGAUAAUUGUUCGAGUUUAUUCUCAUACUCGACUUUCCCAAACUGCUCUCUCAUAUCCUCCAUGAAUCGUUUCCAGGUAAUUAAUUUAUUAUGACAGAGUCCUCUGAUUCAGGUGAGCGCCUUGCCGGUCAUGUGGAACCCGGCGAUCUGCACUUUCCCCUCCUCGCCUAUACCGUAGUAGGCGAAAUACUCCUCGGCUUGAUACAGCCAUCCUUCCGGAUCAUCGCCGGAGAAUCGUGGGAAAUCCAACUUUAUCGCUCUCUAUUUGACGUGCGAUGAUUCACCUCUAAACGGAUCGAAGAAAGUCCCACUUCGAUCACCUUCCUUCGUCAUCUUUAAUACACUUUCAGCAACCGCUGUAAUUGCCGCGUUUUGUUAUUGUGUCACCUCCAUUUGGCGAGUUGUUUGUUCCAUUAUGAUUGCUCCCAAAGCUAGGCGAAUAUUCUCCAAGGUCUCCUCCUUAUUUUCUGUUUCACUGUUCAUGAUCACCAAAUUACAGAAAAAAAUAUUUCAAAGAAGGAAAUAACGAAUUCAAUUAAGAAUUGAACACGUUCCUGAUCAGGAUCUACUUUAGGCGUAGAACAAGCCCUGGAAUGAUUUUGAAUGUUUUGAGUCAUUACCGACCGUUGAUCCAUAAGCGUCCGUGCGAGAACUCAAAGAUAGAUUGUUGUUUUCAAUGUUGGAUGAGUGAUCAUCCUAUUCUGUGUUAUUUAUAGCCUAAGGCUAAUGUCUAAAUAGAAACUAUAACAAACUAAAGCUGAAAAUUAACAAACUAACAACUUGGUCACUACCCUAAUUCCAACUAAUAAAUAUAUAAAGUCUAGAAUCUUCUCCUUUCUUAGCCUUGUCUCCCGUCCUUGUGGUUGCUCCACGUUGGCUUCAUGGUCCCCACCUCAUAAGUCGGUGCACCACCUCGUCAAGAUUUAGCCCAAUUGUUACAUAGAAACAGAAGAUGUAAAACGAAAUAGCAACGGUUAGAACUGCAUAAGUAAAAGUGGAAGAAGAAAAGGUAGUAUUUUUUACAAUUAUAAAAGAUUUCAUCUAUCACUUUAUUUAUACAAUAACACUAUUGGGCUUUUAUGGACUUAUUUAGCCAGGUUGAGUCUGAUGGUCUCGGUCUGUUGGGUCGGGAAGAAGUAUAAGCAGAACUGCAAGAAGAAGAUGUACAAAGAAAUAGCAGGUGCAACUGUGCAAGAAAUAAAAAUGGAUAUAUACGGCUGCAUCAUGACUCGGUGCGAACAUCCGAUAUCACCGUCCAUGUCCCACCUCAUCUGAUUUCGUCGUCCGUCUCGAGUGGAGGUAAAUCGCGAGGUUCGUUGUCUACGGAAUCGUGGUUCCGUCAUCGCGACCGGCACAACCCGUGAGGAAUCGUGGUUCCAAUAUCACGAUCGGCACGGAAUUACGAUUGUGCGGACCGCAGAAUCACGGUUCCGGAAAGGACAUCUCGCACGUGAUGUCUUUCUCAUUGAAAUUUUGGGAUUGAUAUGUGAAAUGACAUCACGUGAUGUCAUGAUGUCCGGUCGUAAUGUCGUUGGGCAGGAAACUAAUUGUAUAUAAAUAAAUGGAAAAGUAGAUAAAUAUUUCUAAAAACUUUAUGGCUAAGUAUUUUGAGUUAAAAUAAUAAAGGUGGUUUUAAAUUUACAAAAUCGUGUUGUAAAACUUGGAAUAAUUACUGAUUAACUAAUUACUAAUUAUAUUUAACAGCGACACUCUGUUUUGAAUCAUCCCCUUGAACACAUUCUCAAGUCUAAUCUCAAGAUGAUCCAUUUGCUCUUCCACCGCUUUCAAUCUCCUCUGAGUUUCCCUCAUCGCCACACCAUCGACGUCACCACCACCUUUGCCAGAAAAAAGCAUCCGUAGAGCAUGGAUAGAAUCAUCGACUUGGCUUAACACAUUCCCCCUGUUCACUCUAUUCUUCAGGAGGAAUCUCGUCGGCACUUUCCACGGGCACCAAUUUCCGCAGCUUGACAAGAAGUAAGUCAGGAGAUAGGAUAAAACAGAGGCCGAUAUGAUUAUCACGUCACCCAUCACUUUCAACAACACCAGAGUCUCUAGGUCUUUUUCCGCCUCGCUGUAGCGGGAGCAAUUUUCACUCACUUGGUUUGAUUGAUUCAGACACUGGUGCACGAUCUUCUUCUUCGACCCCCGUGAGAUGACAAAAGCGUCGAUGCUGCAGGUGGUUGCUCUGUUCGCCCCUUUUCGCCGGAAAACGGAGUGGAGUCCCUGUGAACGUUCCUUUGUCAUCAUGAGCAAUUCUCUUAUCACGUUACAAGCCUCUAGAAGUCCGACGUACCCAUCAAGAACAACAUCGAUGCAGUUCUUCCCACGGAUGCCUAUAAUCAUACGUUGCGUCGUCGGAACCUGGAGUAGGUUCUCUACUAACGAGGACACACGGGAAAGCUCGGCAAGACCAUUGGAAAGUGAGUUAUCGGAGGGAGUGGAAGCCGCGGAGGCUUGUAGCCAUGACUUUAGUUUCUGCAGACUAACGUCGACAGUUUCAGCGAGAUGAUUGAAUCGCAUUGGCAGACUGAUGGAAGGAAGUGGAAUAAAACACGUCGGAGAUGACGAAAAGACUUUCAUUGAAAUUGAAUAUAAUUUGAAUACGAUUGCAGUCGAAGGUAUUUAUAAGGUUUUAAAUUAAAACCGAUUGCAGUCGAAGGCAUUCCACUGAAAUGCUGAAACUAACUAACCUGUAAGGUAGUAAUGCAAUAAAUGUUUGUAUCGGAAAUGCAGUGGCGCAAAUUUUUUGGUAAACACCGCCUUAAAACUAUAAUAAUUUAACAUUCUUAGGCACUUCAUAUGUAUUUUUAUAAUACAAUUUACAUUUUAGAUAGGUAUGCAUUAAUAUAAUAACGUUAAAAAAAUUAAUAUAAUAACGUUAAAAAAAUAUAUUUUUAGGCAGUCUACACCUAGUAUAACAUCCGUUCAAUGAAAUAGACCUACAAGCAAAUCCAUCGUAAUUGUCAUUGAUCCCAACAGUAGUUUGAUGUCUCUGCAAACACCUUGGCUAGACAUCGUAUUGUCAUUACCCACCACAACAUUGUAGCGUUGUCGCGUAUCGAUAGGUAAUUCAAGUUGCCUCACCCACCUUCCAUGAACGAAGUUCAAGCUCGUGUCGGAAUCGAUCAAUAUACGUAGCUGAUAGUUUUUAAUAAAGCCUUGUACCUGAAUCGAUGUCGAAUCUCUGGCCAUCGCAUGCAACGAUGUCACCGGAACUUCUUCCUCGUACUCUUCUGCCUCCUUUAGUUGGUUGUGUUCGUCAAAAAUGAUUUCGUCUUCAUCUUCCACUUCUAGCGGUGUAGAUUCCAGAACCAACGACAUCCUAGCUAGUUUCUUGCAUGAGUGUCCGCGAUGGUAACGCUCGUCACAGUUGUAACAUAGUCCCGCUUCUCGACGAACCCUUUGUUUUUCAAUGGUGAGUCUCUUUACUUCUGGAACGCGUUUCUGCAUGACUAUAUUCUCAUCUGAUCGGAAGUUUCGUUGGUUGUUUUAACGGCUAUCAGCUAGCUUGGUUUCUUGGAUUUCCGCCAUCUCCUUCGCGUCCAACAAACUCGUUGGUUUGAAUGGAAUCACUUCGUUCCUUAUAUCUUCUCUCAGACCUGCCAGAAAUGUUUCCACCUUAAACUGAAUGUUGAAACCAUGCAUUCGAUUGGAUUGUUCCUCGAACUUUUCUAUAUAUUUCUUAACUGCCGAUGUUUGUUGCACCCUUGCAAACCUUCUUAGGUGACCGACAUGUUUUUCUUCAGAGUCGAACCUGCUUAAGAUCAAGGUACAUAGGUCCCCCAUGCAUGGAUAGGCCUCUCCGCAUGUUGGUGUCAAAGCCACUUCCCGACCUCACCUUCGAUAUUAAACCCUGCUGAGUAUACUUUUAGAUGUUCC
rnacentral:lncRNA from 1 species